UUGUAGAAAGAGCUGGACAGUUUCUCUCUCUGCCUAUGACUCAGGAUGUAGCUCUCCAUCUACUGCUCGAGCACCUGCCUGCAUUCGGCUGUGCUUCCUGCCGUGAUGAUAAUGGACUAGACCUCUGAAACUAUCCUCCAUGGGGGUUCCUGAACAGUGACUGCAGAAGCAUAUCUCUCCUGGAGGAUGGAGAAGCCUAGGACAAAACAAAUGUUUCUCUUGGUUUUAUGAACAUCCUGGAUCACCACUGUUCGUUCAUGAAAUUCAUAACAAAGAGGCAUACGAUUGUUAAACCCACAUGGAGAAGCAUGUAUGGAACAUGAAGGAUGGAUGAUUGGCAUUACACAGAUCCUGUGUGACUGGCCAUUCCAGGCGCUUGCUGCCUUGACCUCUCUACCCUGACCGUCUGUACCUAACACUGCAGUCUCACAGACAAAAAGGCAGCCACAGUGUUGACUGUUAACUACAAAGAGAUGUGACAAAUUUUGAAAGAGGAAAAAAAAAAUCACGUCUAGAUUUGAACAAGCUCUUCAGGAAUUAAUUUUGAAUUCCCCUGGGAGCCCCUGCGGAACUGAACGAAUGUUGCUGAGAAAUGUUCGCAUCACGUCUAUGAGCACACUUUGUUCUGGGAGUUGGGCAUGAGUGGGAGAGAUGCUCAUAAUACACACAGAUGCUCCAAGGAAGGGUAUGCAAGCUUUGAGGGCCAUCCCUCUAUUCACCUCACGCCUUCUGAGCUUAAAUGGUAUGUUAAGACACACGUUCCAGUUAAGAAUUUUAUUACUAUAUUGCUAUAGGAGACAGACCUGCAUCCGUUAUUCAUACUAUCUCGGUGACAAAAGACCUGAUGGAAGCAGCUUAAGGAAUGAAGGGUUUAUAGUGGAUACAGUCCAUCAUGAAGAAGGAAUGGCAGUGGGGGUGCUGUCAGGACUCCUCACAUCUCUAUGACCCAGGAAGCAGAAAGACUGGGGCCAGAAGUAAGUCCAGACUAUGACCUUCAGGGCCUGCCUCCAGUGAUCAAUUUCCUGUUAGCCAGCUCUCUCUCUCUCCUGUUUGUUUGUUUAGGUUUUUUGAGACAGGGUUUCUCUGUGUAUCCUUGGCUGUCCUUGCCUGUCCUGAGCUCUCUUUGUAGACCAGGCUGGCCUCAAACUCACAGCGAUCUGCCUGCCUCUGCCUUCCAGGGUGCUGGGAUUAAAGAUGUACACCACUAUGCCUGGCUCAGCCAGCUCUUGAAAAACUUUCAUAGUCUCCCCAAACAAUGUCAUCACAUUAGGGCCAAUUGUUCAAAUACAUGUGGGUGAUAUUUUUAUAUCAAAACCAUGACAAGAUACAUGACUCACUUUAUUGGCUUUUUUUUUCUUUUUUAUUGGCUCUUUGUGAAUUUCACAGCAUGCCCCCCAAUCCCACUCAUCUUUCCAUCCUUCCAUAUCUGCCCUCCACCCUUGAAACCUUCCCACAAAAAGAAAAUAAAAAAGAAAAAUAAACAAAAACAAAGCAAAAGCAUCUCACCAUGGAAGCUACAGCAUGUCAUGGUGUGUCACACAGAAUAACCUUUUGCCUAAAUAGUGUUCCUUGCAAAUGUUCAUUGCAAUGAGUCAUUGGUCUGGUUCGAGGCCUCUGGCUUCUGCUACACUUUCAAUACUGGAUCCUCCAGUAUUGGAGGACUCGUCUUGAAUAUCCUGUUAUUGCCCUUUGUCAUGGAGAUCCUGCAGCUUUGGAUUGGCAGGAUCCACCCCUUCAUGUGCUCCAGCAGUUCAUAGAUGGGUGGGCCCACUCAAAGACCUGGAUCUGGGCCUGGGUGGUAGCUGAGUUGGUCAGCUCGUCAGCUCUCCUGUCAGCCACCAGGGCCAGCUCUCCCACUUUGCCCAGACUAUUCAUUUUAUAGGAAACCUUUUCUGUACAUUUUGGUGACAUUUCAUUUUCUGUAAUUAUAACUAAGGCCAGAUAAUGAUGGCCUGUUACACAGCUACUAAAAAUAAAGUAUGCAAUCUUUUUUA